rnacentral:lncRNA from 1 species
GGGAGCGGCCUGGCCGCCUCAGAGAAGGGAAGGAACGGAACGGAAAGGAAAAAGGAAAUUGAGGGGAAAGGAAAGGAAAUAGAAGAAAAAGGAAGGGAAAAGUAAGGGAAUGAGGCUCCCCCAGUAGGCCCUGAGGGACUCGGGCCCGGCAGCAGAGCCAAGGACGGGAAUCCUUCAGCUCCCGGGAAAAACGGGAAGGAAUCCUUUCCUUGGAGUGCCAGGACAGGGGGGAUGGAUUGAGGCUGGGGGAGAGCAGCGAUGGGUGGGAUAUCGGGAAGGAAUUCCCAGAGAAGCCAGGGCUGCCCCUGGAUCCCUGGAAUGGCCAGGGUGGAUUGGAAGUGGAUGGGUUUGAGGUCCUUCCCGUGGCAAAUCCCAGGAGUUUGGAAAGAAAACGGGGAGCUCCAGGAGCAGCGGAAUGGGGAUGGAGCCAGGCUGGGAAUGCUGGAGAAGGGAAGGAUAUCCAGGGAAUCCUCAGAGCCUUUUCCUGGAGGAGCUGCAGGAGGGCUGGGAUUGGGAUCAGGGCUGGAAUCCGCGGGAUUUUCACAGGAAUUCGUGGCAUUUUUCCCAGGAAUCUUGAAUUGAUGUGAUUUAUUUUUCACAGGAACUUCUGGGAUUUUUUCUCGGAAUUUUGAAUUGACAGGAUACGUUCUUCCCAGUGGGAAAAGAGAGGCUGGGGUGGAAUUCCCGGGAUAUCUGUGGAUCCUGGAAUGUCCAAGGUCAGCUUGGAGCAGCCUGGGAGAGCGGGAAUGAUCCCAGGCCACGGAAUAAUGGGAUGAGCUUCACGCUCCUUCCCAUCCCAGAGCGUUCCCAGCUCCUUUUCCGGGAUGAAGAUCCAAUCCCAGAGCUUCUCUUCUCCAAGGAUUUGAGGAUUCCCAAAGAGUUGCUAUCAGGGCGGGAUGGAGAUGGAGGCUGAGCCAUGAGCACGGAAAAAUUCUGGGAAUGCGGCCACAAACAGCAGGAAUCGCCUUGGGAAUGGGACGGGAAAAGCUGGAUCCAGCUCCAGGCGUGUCCAGAGGCUCCUGCGCUGAAUCUUUGGGAAUUUUUCAUGGAAUUUCUGCUCCCGGAGCUGCUGAAAACCUUUGGAAAAAGACUUUUCUCCUGGGAAAAAAAAAAACAACAAAAAAUGCUGGGAUUUGAAAGGAAUUCCUGGGAAUCCAGAGCUGGAUUUUUCCUUUGGUUUUUGGGGAUGUUUCUUCCCAAAGAAAAACGUGGAUCGGAAGAAUAUUCCAAGAUUUUCCCGCUUCGUUGGCCUGGAUUGGUGGGAGAAUUUUGGAUAAAAUCCCCCCAAAAAUUCCAGAUGAGUUAAAAAAUCCAAGGAAUUCUGGGAUAAUCCUUCAGAACUUUGGGAAUGGAAUAAAUUUGAAGCAGAAUCCA